rnacentral:rRNA from 1 species
GAUGAACGCUAGCGGCAGGCUUAAUACAUGCAAGUCGAGGGGCAGCGCAGUGUAGCAAUACAUGGGCGGCGACCGGCAAACGGGUGCGGAACACGUACGCAAUCUACCCAAAACUGAUGAAUAGCCCUCCGAAAGGAGGAUUAAUACAUCGUAACUUAAUGAAGUGGCAUCAUUUUAUUAAUAUAGCUCCGGCGGUUUUGGAUGAGCGUGCGCCUGAUAGGUAGUUGGCGGGGUAACGGCCCACCAAGCCUGUGAUCAGUAACUGGUGUGAGAGCACGACCAGUCACACGGGCACUGAGACACGGGCCCGACU